GCUUUAUCUCAGUACUAUUGGAAGCUUGUUUUCCUGAGUCCCUAAACUAAACCGCCUGUGCUGACAGAUGAAAGAGAGGCAUGGGUUGCCAGAGCGUAUUAAUAGAAAACACAAACCAGGGCUCCAAAUUUGGGGAUCCAAGGAUGGACAAGUGAGGGAAGAGGAAGAGUAGACACUGAUGGUGUAAAUCCCAAGGAGAAACUCCUUCAGAAGGCCUUUCUUCCCUCUGCAAUAGAUCGUCUGCCCCUACUGAUCCACCACUUCUAGAAAUACUGUCUGAGGGUGGAAGGAUCUCAGGAGAACUGAAGAAAUGACACACUAAGGGAAGGUUUUGGAAACAAAGGUUUGUACAAAAAUAUCCAUGGACUUGGUACAAUCUAUGUAGCAAGUAUGGAUAAUUGGAUGGAACUAUUUACUUUACUAGAAGACAUGAAUCUCAACAUAUGAAACAGCAAUUUCAGCAUUAAUUGGGUAGGUCUAGAGCUAAAGAGGAUCCUGAUUACAUCUCAUAUUUGGAAGAUUUUAAAGAAAUGAUCCUAAAUAGUACCAGGAAAAUAAAAUCUGAUUUUUAAAAAUU